rnacentral:lncRNA from 1 species
ACUACUUAUUUCCCAGCAAAUCCACAGCAGUCCUACCACAUCACUUCGGAAGUGGGAAUCACUCAGGAGCCUCAGCAAAAGUUUCAGCACCAUCAGAAAAGUUCUAGUGGAACAUUUCUGUGGAGGACGGAGUGAGAGGAGGUGGACAGGAAGAUGAUUCUCCCCUGACUUGGUGGAAGAAAUGAAAAAUAUCUCCCAUAAAAAAGAAGGGAAUCUAAUCAAGAGAAGCUGUGUAAUAUUUACACCCUUCUUGAACAGAGCAGAGGAGUGAGUCAUCACACUUAUCUCAGCACAGUCCCUGACAGCAGCAUCUGAGGCACUGGGCAGCAUCUCUGAGCCAGAGCAGGGUGGGAGAG